rnacentral:lncRNA from 1 species
CGUAAAAUAUUCCGGAGAAUCAUCGCCGGCAUCCUCAUCUUCAUCCUCAUAGUCCUAAUCACCAUCCUCAUCGUGUGGGCCAUCCUCCGCCCUACGAAACCUAGGUUCAUCCUCCAAGACGCCACCGUUUACGUCUUCAACGUCUCGAACCCGAACGUCCUCACGUCAAGCUUCCAAGUCACAAUUUCCUCCCGAAACCCUAAUGACAGAAUCGGUAUUUACUACGACAAGCUUGACCUUUACGCCACUUACCAUAGCCAACAAAUCACUUACAAGACCUCCCUCCCUACCACUUAUCAAGGCCACAAGGAGGUCAACGUUUGGUCGCCGUACGUUUACGGUAACGCCGUCCCCGUGGCCCCGUACAAUGCUGUGUCCUUGACUCAAGAUCAGUCUAGUGGGAUCAUCCCUUUGACGUUCAAGAUUG